UGGAUGCUCACAGUCAUCUAUUGGAUA
rnacentral:piRNA from 1 species